rnacentral:lncRNA from 1 species
GAUUCAUUGCUCUUUAUUGCACCUAAAAGCUGAGGGAAAUGAUCAGACAUCUCUAAAGCGCAGUGGUUUUCAGCCCCAUCAAAUGGUCAAGAGGAUUUUUUUUACAUCUUGUUACAGGGAAAAGGGUACUUGAGUGGAAAAGGAACAAGAGAUUCCAUGUAGAAAAGUGCAUCUGGGAGCAAGGGUGACCAGAGAUAGACAGAAAAGUGAAG